UGCAAUUCAAUUGGAGAAGUUUGAUUUACGUGUUUAAUUCUUUACGGACGGUGUUGUGUGUUGCUAAACAAUUUAUUUAAUUAAAACCUUGCAGAUUAGUAACCUUCCAAUUGUGACGACAAAAAUCUGCCUAUUCUAAUUUUUAAUGAAUAAUGCUAAGUUUCCUCUUUAAUGAAUACUUUAGUCUGCGUAUUGUGAUGAGUUUUUAUUUGAUAUUAUAAAUGCUUUGGUUGCAAAUACGUGUUUCAUACACACAGCAAGAGAGACAAGUUAAAAAUAGUUUUGAUAUCAAUUAUUUGAAACUAAAAGUAAUCUAUAUACUUUAAUAAAUCGAUAAAGAGAACGAGAAAAUGUGACUAAUCUAGCAAAGAAAUUGUUACCGAAUGUGUUAAAAGUGAAUUACUACAGGUCAAGUAAUAAAUAUAAAGCAAUACCAGUUAUAAAUAACAUAAUAAACGCCCAGACAAAAUAGAGCAUCUGGCGACGAAAGUACAAACCUGUCGCUUUUGGCCCAGUACACUAGUGCAAGCAGGCAGUUUUCGUGGGCAGGGAUCAAGUUUAACGUCAUACUAAAAAUAUAUUUGAAUGUGUUGGUUGCAGUAGGUCUUCCAGCUGUAUAAUCCCUUUUCUUCCUUCACUACCAAUACUGGAUUUUACUGUAAAAAUUUAUUGCGAGCUUCCCGUCACAAAGCAGCUGUUAAACCUACUGGAUUUUCAGCUUUUAACACUUUUUUUGGACUGCUUGCAUAUGCAACGACAAUAACAGAGCGUGUCAUAAAGCAAAACAAUGGCUUCCCAAGCAAACAUGGACACAUUCGCUGCCAAUGCGAAUUCGCCUUUAAAUUUUGCCAGUACAACGACUGAAACUGAGUGGCUAGAUGAUUUACUCCACGAAGUUCAACUUGAGCAGUUUCUAGAACGGAUACGCGAUGAUUUACAAGUGACACGUCUGGCACACUUCGAUUAUGUGCUUCCGGAGGAUCUCGAACGAUGUGGGUUGGGAAAACCAGCCGUGCGGAGACUCAUGGAGGCGGUUCGCAAGAAAAAAGCUCAUCAAUGGCGGAAAAAUAUACUUUCAAAACUCAUUGGGGGCGGUAAGCAGCCCUCGUCAAAGAAGUCACAACAAGCUGUAAAUAAGGAGCAGCAAAAUACUCAACUAACUUGCCUAAUCCAUCAAAAUGACAUCUCAUUUGGCAUUAAGUUAGGUGACGGCUCAUUCGGAGUAGUUCGUCGUGGCGAGUGGCGCACCUCCCCUAACGGAAAGGUAUUGCCUGUUGCAGUGAAGGUGCUAAAAUCAGACAAUCUGACGCAACCGGGCAUUAUCGAUGAUUUUUUCCGUGAGGUGCAGGCAAUGCAUGCUUUGGAUCACUCGAACUUGGUGCGUUUGUAUGGUGUUGUGCUAUCGCAGCCAAUGAUGAUGAUUACCGAAUUGGCGGAACGGGGUUCGUUGCUGGACACAUUGCGCAAACAGUGCAAGCACACGCCAUUAACCAAUAUUUGGAAUUGGUCGGUGCAAAUUGUUACUGGUAUGGCGUACUUGGAGCAGAAACGGUUUCUGCACCGUGAUUUAGCAUGCCGAAAUGUUCUUUUGGCCUGCGGAAAUAAAAUAAAAAUUGGUGAUUUCGGGCUUAUGCGAGCGUUGCCGCAAGAAGAUGAUUGUUAUGUGAUGUCUGAGCACAAGAAGGUACCCUUUCCCUGGUGCGCUCCGGAAUCAUUACGUUUUCGCCAGUUUUCGCAUGCCUCAGAUACUUGGAUGUUUGGUGUAACACUUUGGGAAAUGUUUACUUUUGGCGAGGAUCCAUGGGUGGGAUUAAAUGGGUCACAAAUUCUGCGAAAAAUUGAUAGGGAGGGUGAACGUUUGCAUCAGCCAGAUGCUUGUCCACCUGAUGUGUACGAGAUGAUGCUACAAUGCUGGGACAGAGUACCUGCAGAGCGGCCAACGUUCGCCGCUUUAAAAGAAUUUUUAGUGGGAAUGUCGCCGCCUUUAUAUAAAGCAGCACGUUCAUAUAACGAAGAAAAUCGAUUGCAGGUAGAUGUUGGCGAUACCUUGGCCAUUAUUGAUGGUCGUGCCGAUUUGAAACUUAUUAAAGGGCAAAAUCAGCGUACAUUUGAUAUUGGUAUUUUCCCACGUAAUAUAUUAGAGAAACAAAAGCAUACGAACAGCGACCUGAUACGCCCACUGCAUGAGAGCAUUCGACAAAGCGGUGGUCAUGCAGGAUCACCAUUUGGAUUUUGUUGGGGAGGAGCCGGCGCAAUGAGUGCCAGUGCAGAAAUUCAAUCAGAAAGAAGUCGUAAAUGCGCUUCUAUGCAACCACAAAUGCUGCAGCCCGGGCAUCAUGCCAAAGAAAGAAAAUCAGUAUCUAGCAAACAGUUUGCCUACAAUAAGCUUAUUAAUGAACGUACCGCUGAGCAGCAGCGAAACCAAUCACAAACCGCUAAAGGUAAAGGAGUGCCUAAUCAUAAACAAGGCCCACAACGUCCACCGCCACCGCAGCAGCAACAAAUCGAGGGUAUCCUCAUUGACAUUUCACCCGAAUUUGGUCUGCCUUCAUCUUCGACGAACAAAAGCGAUGCAAACGGCCCUCUAAAAGUAAAUAACUCAUUUUGUUUGUUAGAUGCGCCGAUCGAUGUACCCACGGAGGGAGAGGAGUACAAUGUAUUGCCUGGCGUAAACGAUUCAGCAUCGUUAUCGUAUGAUUCCACUUCAGCUGAGCAAGACUUUACGACCAGAACUUCACCAAUUGGCCAGAGGCUGCAGCCGCCCCCCUAUCAGAUGCCACCCACUUAUUCAAAUACCAUAGAAUUUUCGCAACAACAAACACAAUCGAUGCUUCAGCGUGAUCCAUUUGAUACUAGCAGUAUUCAAAUGAGGAGCCACAAUGAGGUCGAAAGCGGCACCAACACAAGUCCUAACGCUGUAUACUCAAAUAUUGUACGUCAGCAACAAAUUAAUGCACGAGAUCAGUUAUUGCGCGCGAAUUCAAUGCAAUCAUUAUGUAAGAGUUCAGUAUCUGCAAGAAAAAGCCUGUUCACUUCAGUAUCAAGUAGUCCUGGCAAUAAAGAAAAUUUUCCACAUUCCCUUGCCUUAGAGAACCAAAACUCUACGCCACCAGCUGGCGAAGAUACUCUGCAGUCAAGAUUAUCUACACUCAGCCUUGACAAACCAGAGAUGCAAUCUACCACGGAAGGCAAUGUUUUGCUGGACAAAUCUUUUAUUGCCGAACUGGAGAAGGACAUGUAUACCAGUAAAGGCCAAAAUGACUACGAACGUAAUUCGUCACAAAAAUAUGCAAAUAAAGAGAUUGUGUUCAAACAGAAUUUAACGCCUUUAAAAAAUUCCACUUAUCAAUACAACACUCCAGCAGCGCCAAGCAAUGGAACUUCGCCUAAAAUGCAGAAUGUCGAGUCACAAAAUCAACAGAAUUACUCGAGUACAGUGCUUACAGAUGCGCGAACUAGCAUCUACAAUGACCAAUGUAAACAAAACAAUCUAGAGGCUGUUGCGACCAAUGAAGUACCUAGAACAGAGGAAAGAAACGAAGCAUCUUCCGCGAGCACACAAGAUGUAAUUAAUCGGAUAUGGUAUGAACGUGUUAAUGGGACUACCACUCCUGCAACAUAUUAUUCACAACCACCCGAGAAUUUGUACCAAAACCCUACCAAUUAUACAGAACGUUAUGCAAGCGCAGCUACUGCCCAGGAAGCAAACCACAGUUUUGUGGCUAUCUCAAAUAGAGUUGUUGCACCAAAAACGCAAACAAACCAAAUGUAUGCUUCAUCUGCAUCCCUAUAUGGGAGUAUAGGCAGUCGCGAAUUAUAUGACAUGGUGGCGCCGACGCCAUCAACUUACUACGGGCAAUUACCUUUGGAUAACGUUGGUGCUGGUAACAGCAUCUUUGCCAACGGAUUAACAACGGCGUCGGCAGCACCUGCAGCCAUUUACGAUGAGGUGGCAUUAGACGAUUAUUUACGUCCACAUCGUCCAGCUCCACUAGCUCCGCCACAGUUAUCUGCACAGCAAAUACAGCGUCGUCUAGAGAAACUAAAGCAACAGCAGGAGAACGGUGGAGGUAACCUUUAUGCACCGAUUCCAUCCGAAUUCACGCGGGAAAAUGAAAAAAUCCAACAAAUACUUAAGGAUUUAGGAUCCGCUGCACAAGAAGUAGAUGUGCGCAAUGCACUUAGAGCGGCAAACGGCGAUGCGAAUGCGGCAAUACGACACUACAAAAUCGAUCAACUCUCUAGACUUGGCCUUGCCAAUCGUUCGCAGUGUGAGCAAGCAUUACAACAAACUGGAUGGAGCUUGGAGCUUGCUGCUGCUGUUCUAUUAGAGAGUACUUCAUAGAAUGUUAUGAAUAAUCGAAAUAUUCCUAAAAUCAUCAAUUCAUCAUUCCAAUCGCAUCACAUUUUCAAAAUUAGAUGAACCUUUUUCGAUAAUGCAGCAUAUGCAUUAAAAAAAUAUAUCCACCAUGAAGUAUCAUCAGCUCUAGUAAUCAUCGAAUACAAGAUAUUACGUGUUGUUACACACAGCGUCAUUAGCCGUCCUUUUUUUGGAGCAAAAACUAAUAUGAAACGAAUUAUUUACGAACUAUUUUAUUAACUUUAAUUUAAACGGAAGAAUCGUAAUGAAAUGGAGGAUUAACAGCAAAGGUAUUAGAACAUUUUAAAACAAUGAAUAACUUCUUACUAUACCAAAAUUAAAAUACAUCACAAGAAUGAAUAUAUACACAUAUAAAAAUAUGUUUUAAGCUAGCGAUUAAAUUAAUGUAUGUUAUUUGGGACAGCAAGUACCUAUAUACAUACAUAUAUAUUAUAUAUGCAAAUCUUUUGUGUAAAACAUAAGAAGCGAAAAACGUCACAUCGCGUAUAACUUAUUUAUUAUAUCAAACUGAACAAAUUAUAAAAUAUGUUUGGGUGAACUUUAGUCACAACUUUUACGAAAAGACCCUUUUUAUAUAACGCCAAUAGAUACCAAUUUUAAAUUUAAUAGGAGGUCAAUAAAAAAUUUAACCAGUUGACAAUUAUGUGGUUUAUACCACAUUUGUAUGUAUAAAUCAAUCUUGUAUACAUAUUUGUAAUGAGUGAUGUGAAUAAAAACUAUCUAACUGAAAACAAGUCGAAGAUGAAAAGGGGUUUAGUUUCUAUAGCAAAAAAAAAUCAAAUACUCACCGUGCACUUUCAAAACAUUUAACAAAAUUUCUUUCAACAGGC
rnacentral:misc_RNA from 1 species